rnacentral:rRNA from 1 species
AUGGCGCCGCCCCCCACCUCCGCUGCAGGCCCGCAGCAGCGGCGGCUCCUCAAGGCGGCGGCCGACGGCGACCUCGGCCGCUUCAAGAGCAUCGCGAGCGCGCUGGACGGCGGGAAGGGCCGCGUCAGGGAGGCGAUGGAGGCCGCCAGGGACGCCGGGUCCGGGGCGCUGCACGCCGCCGCCCGCCACGGUAGGAUGCCGCUGUGCGUCUACCUCGUCGAGCAGCUUGGCGUGAACGUCGAUGCAGGAGACGACAAAGGUGAUACACCUCUUAAGUAUGCACUUGGUUGGGGAAAUUUGGAUAUUGUGAGGUAUCUCCUUGAUCAUGAUGCUGAUCCAGAAAAGCGUGGUGAACAUGGAAUGACCGCUAUCCAUGUGGCAGCUGGAGCAGACCGAUGGGACAUGGAGGCUCGUCCUAGACAGCAGGAGGUAUAG